CAAAUUAGAGCUUGUAAAAGCUUUUUAUUUACAUUAAAAUGAAAAUUGUUUAUCAAUUUAAUUUGA
rnacentral:tRNA from 1 species